AUACGUAGGUGACAAGCGUUAUCCGGAUUUACUGGGCGUAAAGGGAGUGUAGGCGGUCUUGCAAGUCAGUAGUGAAAUCCCUCGGCUUAACUGAGGAACUGCAACUAAAACUAUCUUUCUUGAGUGCGGGAGAGGAAAGUGGAAUUCCUAGUGUAGCGGUGAAAUGCGUAGAUAUUAGGAGGAACACCAGUGGCGAAGGCGACUUACUGGACUGUAACUGACGCUGAGGCGCGAAAGUGUGGGGAGCAAACAGGAUUAGAUACCCUGGUAGUCCACACUGUAAACGAUGAAUGCUAGGUGUAGGGGGUAUCGACCCCUUCUGUGCCGCAGUCAACACAAUAAGCAUUCCGCCUGGGGAGUACGGCCGCAAGGUUGAAACUCAAAGGAAUUGACGGGG
rnacentral:rRNA from 1 species